UGCUCGAGUGUCCUCGUCAAAGGUUCCCACACACGCCUCGUCCUGGCACCCUCCCCCUCCCUCUCCUCACCCUCCUCUUUAUCGCAUGCCGAUGCACACACGCACACGGACAAAGCCCGUUGAUUGUGCGAUCGCUCUCUGUUUGUUUGUAAUUUAAAUUCUCAUGCACUUCUGGCGAUCGCCUAUGAAGGAGGAGGAGGGGAGGGGGAGGAACUAACCACCACCAUCGGAGGGUCCUGCGUCCUACGUCCUACUCCGCCUGCUUUGGUGGUGGUUUCCUUCCUUCCUUCCUCCCGAUCGAACCAACUUCCCCCUUUUGCACGUGGAUUUCGACUAAACGCCGUCUGCGCGACAUCAAGGUGAUCGUGAGAAAGUUUUUUUCUCACAUUAUUCCGCAGCGACUCCUGUUUUAAUUUUAGCCUCUGUCGGAAUUAUUAUGCAUUUAUGAAUUGAUAUGACUCGCGGUGGCUCGAUUUUUACCCUGGGGGAUGACUGUACUUAUUGGAAGAUUUACAGUUGUUGUCGUCAGGGGAAAGAGAAAUUCUGUAGUGUCAACUCCCCUGUGAUACAUGUUACGAGAGUAAAAGGGUAUAUGUAUUAGAUUCGUCGGAAAGAACUUAAAAGGUAGAAGGAAGCGCUUCCGACCCUAUUAAGUACAAUUCUUCAUCAGGAUCACUAGCCGAGUCGAUGAGCCGAAUAUCUAUUCUAGAGAUUCCUGCGCAGCCCCAUUAUUUUUCAGAGUGCCACGCCCACAAACCGCCCAAAGCUGUGGCUCCUACAAUUUUAGUGCUAGAACAAAAAUUGUAGCUGGAAUGUAUUGAUCUUGUCAAUACCUAUCAAUUAAAAUUAUUAAAUCGGACCACUAGUUAAUAAGUAAUGACCUUACGCCCGUAUCUGGAAAGAACAUCGUCAAAAUGUCGCCACGGCCAUUAAAUAAAAGUGAAAAGUGUAAAAUGUAAAAAUGCAAAGUAGAUAAAAAUUCAAGCAUCGUUUUGCCUCUACUUGA